rnacentral:misc_RNA from 1 species
CUUUUGGGGAGGAUAUUUAAAUGAGUUGCCUGCAUUGCUACCAUAAUAUUUCCUCUUCACACCUACUAAUUCUAUAUGAUUAUAUAUGCGUCAUUUUGAAUUAAUCACAGUUGCAUCCAGAUUCGCAUUGUCAGACAGAAAUUAAUGAAAAACCAGACCUUGUUAGCUUUGAUCUCCAACUUUAAACAUAUGCACCAUGAUUAGUAAAAUAAAGCAUCCAAGAUGGUUCACCAUAAAGUGAAGAGCAAUAAAAGCUACCCUGUAUUUGAGUGUCUAAAUUGAAGUUGUUGAGAGGAGAAGAUUGCAGAUAUUACAUUGUUGAAUAACCUCAAAAAAGUUUCCGGUCUCUGACAAUGAUUGUCUGCAAGCUUCUUCAUUUUCAGGAGCCGGUUAGAAGUGCAAUAAUAGACUCCUGCAUUCGCAUUACAGAUAAUGGAAGAGAGAGCAUCAAUAGAAAAGUCUUCUUCAUUUUCACACUCUACAGUACUUUAAAUCACAAUGAUCAGCUUAAGUUAGGAGCAAGUAGUUCAGAAGAUGCUGCAGGAUGGAUUCGUUCCUUGCAGAAUGCAGUGUUGAAGGAGUGCCCAAAUCCAGGAAAUGACUUUGUGGCUAUUUCUAAGAGGAAAUGGCCGCCUCUAAGAUUAAGUGUUUCAAAGAGGGUGGACUUCAAGGGAUCAAUAGAUUAUUACUCAACCUUGCACACUGAGGUAAUGACGUCAGAUGUUAUUGCACCCUCUCCAUGGAAAAUUUUUGGCUGCAAGAAUGGACUACGUCUUUUUAAAGAGGCAAAAGAUUGGGAUUCUUGUGGGAGGCAUUGGGAUGAUCAUCCAGCAAUUAUGGCAGUUGGUGUGGUUGACGGGACUUCUGAGGCCAUUUUCCGGACUCUUAUGUCCCUUGGUCCAUUAAGAUCAGAAUGGGACUUCUGUUUUUACCGUGGUAGCAUGGUUGAGCACCUUGAUGGUCAUACAGAUAUUAUUCACAAGCAGUUGUACAGUGAUUUGCUACCUAGGGGAAUGAGACGAAGAGAUCUUUUGUUGAGACGUUAUUGGAGAAGAGAGGAUGAUGGCACCUAUGUGAUCCUAUACCAAUCUGUGAUUCACAAGAAGUGUCCACCACAGAAGGGCUAUGUUCGAGCAUGCCUUAAAAGUGGAGGAUAUGUAAUAACUCCUAUAACCCAAGGAAGGCGAUCACUUGUAAAACAUAUGCUUGCAGUUGAUUGGAAAUCUUGGAAAAUGUACUUUCUCCUAUCAUCCGAAAGAUCCAUAACAAUACGUAUGCUUGAAACAGUUGCAGCACUAAGGGAGCUGUUCAUAGCCAAAGAAGGAAAUUAUGCUGCCUUUUCAUCUAGAGAAUUGACAGGACACAUUGUGUCGCCUCAGGCUGAAAAGGUAGACAAGAAAAUGGUAGUUAAAGGCCCAGAAAAAAUUGAGGAGAAUUCUAGUUUAGUGGAAAAUGAAGCAGAAAAACAAACUACAAGUUUAACUGGCCUGACCAGUGCCACUGA